rnacentral:rRNA from 1 species
UACAGAGGUCCCAAGCGUUGUUCGGAUUCACUGGGCGUAAAGGGUGCGUAGGUGGUCGGGUAAGUCUGAUGUGAAAUCUCUGGGCUCAACCCAGAAAUGGCAUUGGAUACUAUUCGGCUAGAGGAGUGGAGGGGGACUGGAAUACUUGGUGUAGCAGUGAAAUGCGUAGAUAUCAAGUGGAACACCAGUGGCGAAGGCGAGUCCCUGGACACUUCCUGACACUGAGGCACGAAAGCUAGGGGAGCAAACAGG